CAUGGAUCACCUUUAACUUCUUUCCAUCCAAUGCUAUUUUAUCUUUACAAAUUUUAUAGAUAACAAAAUUGAUAUCUUAACGUGCGAAUUGAAAUUUAUACUUGCUCAGCGUAAUACCAUAUUUUCUAAAUCUCAAUAAUAUUUUCCGUGUGAAUCAAAAUUUUCAUCAUCCACAAGGACGUCAUCAACCACUUUAUGAGCAUUAUGAAUUCCUUCUAAAACCUGAUCGCAUCUACAAUUAUAUGCAUUACAAGUGUUAGUGCAACAACAAUUGGAUGACACCGUCACCUCAUCGUCGAUCUUCUUUAUUACGUCUUUCUUCACCAUGUCUUAUUACGUUCUUUUAACUUGAUCCCUGUGGCAAAGUGGGAUUUGUCUCUAUCCAUGAAGAGCAAAGCGCUUGGCAUAAUCCAAAAGUUCGAUUUUUAUCUGAAGGAAUUUAUUUCAUCGUCUUUAGUUCUUCAUCACAGGGAAAUAUGGGUUUAUAAUUCCCAAUCCCAUACACGCAUGCUGUGAUAAAAAACAAAUCCUCCUGGUCGAUAGUUUUCUCAAAAUAGACAAUCUCUUUAUGUUGACGAUUACAGAGUCUAAAUAUUAGCUUAACAUUAUUAAUAACCUCCAAUCUUGAGCCGUUCACUCGGACUAUCUUGGGACUAGCAGAUGGAUGCCAUAGUCUCUUUGAUGGAAAGUUUAAAUCUUUGUAAACUCUCAAGCCUGCAAUAGAAGCCAUUAAACCCCUAUCACAUACAGAAAUUGAAUUCCCAAUGUAUUCUCCACUUACAGUCAGAAUGUCAAUUGGAAUUUUAUUCAGUUCACAUCCACGAACUGAAUUGAAGUGUAAUACUGAACAUAUGUUCUUGGAUCGGCAUACUUUCGCAUAAUGACCUUUCUUCCUACACUUUCGGCAUUCCAUUCCUUUAGCAGGACAUGGUCUUCCAUAUUGAUGCGCAUUGAAUCCACAUUGUAUACAUAUCAAUUCUUUCUUUCUCAUCCAUGGUUUUUUUUACUCUUACUUCUUCUUCUUUCAAAUCAUUUGGCCUUUGAAAUUCUAUUAAUACCCUUUAAUACUAAAUCUUUUAAACUUUCUUUAUUACUCUUUGCAGAUACAAUUGUUCUGCACAAAGUAAUGGUCUCUUUCAAAUUAAGUUGUUUAAUGUUUUCUAAAAGUUUUUGGCGAACAUCAUCGCCCCUGACUCGACAUGUGACCAGAGUGCCCAACCCAUCUUCUGAUCACAUUUCAUAAAUUUCUACCUGCUCCGCCAACAUUCACUCAACAAUAAUUCAUAAAAAAACAAGGAAUAAUAAUUAACAACUAUAUUAAUA
rnacentral:lncRNA from 1 species